UUCUGGCAGAGGGCAAUAGAUUUUACUCAAGAAUUUGACUGUAUUUUGCCCCAUCCAUUUUUCCUUCUAUCCUGACAAGUGCUCCAGUCCUUGCUGGAGAAAAUCACCCCAUAACAGGAUACCACCUCCAUCCUUUACUGUAGGAAUGCUGUUAUUUCGAUGGUGAACUGCAUUGCUGCAACAGAAUGUGAUUUUAAAGCCACGCAAGAGAGUAAGAGGGUGAGCAUUUACAGAGGCUGUAUCGAUCCAGCGACAGGAAGAUUCUGCACGGUUGUGGUUUCACGGCUUCCUGUGUGCUGGGAAGAGCUGCCCACUGGAACAUAGAUCACGCUCUGUGGACUGAGCUUCUGCCUGCUCCAUUGAUCCAGGUUGCCAUGAAUGUGUGCCACAUUCUCAGCUCCUGCUGUGAGGGCCACAGAGAAAGAAACAAACACUGUAAUACAACAGCCCAAAACAAACAAACAAACAGCAUUUUUGUGGUAAUGGCUGUGAUUAAGAGAUAAGGGAAGAAAGAGGGAGAUAAAGGCCUCCCCCAGUGCUGACCUUCAGAAAUGGCACAGCUCUUUCAGUCAGUUGGCGUUCACACACUCCCAGCAUGCAGAGUCAGGAUUAGAGACAGGUGAAAGAUGCUCUCAUUCUGUCAGAGUCUUUAUGCAGAAACAAACUUAAAAACAUCUUAAUAUAUCUAGUUGGUCAAAAGUUCUCACAAACUGACUUCUAAAUCACAAACAAAUGCUAGUGCCUGCAUUAAAUUCAGUUACAAUAUAAUUAUUUACAGUACAGCUAAUGCCACCAUUGAACCUCUGAUUUAUGUUCUAAAACUCCACUGUAACAAUCUGAAGAAUUUUCGUUACUUCCAGUGAAUUUGUUUCUUCACAUUUCUUGUACGAAUAUUCUGUGCAGAAUAAUGACCAUGCAUAGACAAUAAUGCAGCUGACAAGUUCAAGGCCCAGAAAGGUAGUAAGGACAUAGUUAAUAUGCACUCUUAAAAAUAAAGGAUGCCAUAGAAGAACCUUUUUUGUCUUUCUGUUUCACAAAAUGUUCUUUGUGGUGAAAGAAGGUUCUUCAGAUUAAAAAAAGGUAAGAAAGAGAUGGUUCUUUAAAGAACCUUUGAUUGAAUGGAUCUUUGUGGAGCCAAAAAUGGUUCUUCUAUGGCAUCGCUGUGAAGAACCUUUUGAAGCACCUUUAUUUUUAAGAGUGUAAUCCAUGUGACAUCAGUGGUUCAAACCUAAUGUUAAGAAGCUACGAGAAUACUUUUGUGUGCAAGGAAAACAAA
ensembl:lncRNA